UCUGGUGCUUCGAGUUUUCGGACAAGAAGCAUCGGAGACAGUGGCGGAAGGGUGAGGAAUACAUGGGUAAUCUAUCUUCAAGUUGGGUAUAACUCCGCGAAAGUGGAGAUAAUCCCGAAUGUGGUGAUCCGGCGCAUGCCGGAGAAACUAAAGGCAGGGACCGCAAGGCCUGUCGCUUGAAGCCGAGCCCGUGCACUAUCAGCUAGUUGGCGAGGUAACGGCUCACCAAGGCUAUGACGGUUAGCUGGUCUGAGAGGAUGGUCAGCCACACUGGGACUGAGAUACUGCCCAGACUCCUACGGGAGGCUGCAGUCGAGAAUCAUUCGCAAUGGGCGAAAGCCUGACGGUGCGACGUCGCGUGGAGGAUGAAGGUCUUCGGAUUGUAAACUCCUGUCAUGUGGGAUAAAUGGCCAGGGCAAUAAUACUGCCUUGGAAUGAUAGUACCACAGGAGGAAGAGACGGCUAACUCUGUGCCAGCAGCCGCGGUAAUACAGAGGUCUCGAGCGUUGUUCGGAUUUCUGGGCGUAAAGGGAGCGUAGGCGGUUCGGUGUGUUGAAUGUG
rnacentral:rRNA from 1 species